AGGAGCUGAUACUGUUAUCAUACAUGACAUGGAUUUUAAUCCACAGAUAGAUCGGCAAGCUGAAGAUCGCUGCCACCGGAUAGGCCAAAACAAACCAGUUACAGUAUACAGGCUGGUUACUAGGAAUACUGUUGAUGAGAAUGUAUAUGAGAUUGCAAAGCGAAAACUUACAUUGGAUGCAGCUAUACUCGAGUCUGGUGCCCAAAUUGAGAAUGAAGGUGAUGCAAAAACUAUGGGUGAGAUAUUAUCGUCUCUUCUGCUUGGUUAGGCGCACCAUGUUCUGACAUGAUUCAUAUCAAUAUCAUUUUGAUCUACUGGUUUUCUUUUUCCUCUGUUUUUGCG
rnacentral:misc_RNA from 1 species